GGAGGGGGAGAAGGAGCAGAGGGAGGGAGGGAGACAGAAGGGAGAGAUGCGGGGCGGUGGGGGCCGGGGGGAGGGGAGGGGGGGGGGCACAACAGGCCCCAGCGGGGAAGGGAGGAGGGAGAGAGAGGAGGGGCGGGCGGGGGUCUGGGGGCUGGGAUCCGGGGGGUCCAGGGCCCGGAGUCCGAAUCGGGGAGGGGGCUCAGGGCCCGGAGCCGGAGGUGGCCCUCGGGCCGAAUCCAGGGCCGAAGGAGUCCUCGUCCUCCCUCGCCGCCCCCCGCCCCCCCGCCCCCGGCCCCGGGCGGCCCGGCCCGGCCCGGCCCGGCGGACAGCGGGUUAACGAGUGAAGAGGCUGGCACUUCCGGAUGUGCUCAUUGCUGGGGAGAGGGGAGAGACGGACACGGAGACACAGACACAGAGACAGAGACGGACACGGACACAGAGCCGGGGACAGCCCGAGCCCGAGCCGGGGCCGGGGCCGGGACCGGGACCGGGGCCGGGGCCAGCGGCUCUCCUCCGGGCUGCAGGGACACAGACAGCGGGGGGCGGGGGCUGGCCCCGGGGCUCGGCAGGACCCUCCAGACCACCGCCCCCCACCCCUCCCCCAGCCCCCUCCGAGGAGCCGGGAGGAGGUCCCAGCAGGGGCGACGGCCGGUCCUGACCCCCGGCUCUUCCCUUCUUUCUUUCCCCCUCCUCCUUCCCUCCCUUUCCCCAGCGCCUGCCCCAGACCGGGCCCAGGACAGCCCCCCUCCCCCCGCUCCACCAACACCCCCACGCCCCCCCCCUCCCGCCCCCUGCCCCGGGAGCCCCCUCCCCCGCCAGCCGGCCCCGCGGAGAUGCCGGCCUGGUGACCCGGCCGGCCCGGAGCCGGACCCGAAGGGGCUGGGGAGGGGGGAAUCCUCCCCCUCUCCCUCCCCCCGUCCCACCCCGCCCCCCGCCCCCGCCGGCUCCGUGGAUGGGCUCUCCGGGGGGCUGCCGGCCGAUGCCCCUCGCCCCGGCCCGUUGCACCCGCUGAGGGCCGAGGGGGCGAGGGUCCGGGGGGUGGGGGGGGGAAAGGAGCGCUCCCCUCCCCUCGCCCCCCGCCUGUCUCCGGAGACGGGGGGAGCCUGCCGAGACCUCCCGGCCCGAGACGAACUCCAGGCGGCCGAUGGCCCAGCGGUAUGA
rnacentral:lncRNA from 1 species